rnacentral:rRNA from 1 species
AUGCCGCUAAACCUCGUACCUACUGCUGGAAUGAAGUUCACCACGUACGACAAGGCAUGGGACUUUUACAACAAUUAUGUAAGAUGUGCAGGGUUUGGCAUACGCAAGAGGGAAAAACACAGGACAAAUGCCUACAUUGUCUGCUCAAGAGAAGGGACGCACAAGCAGACUGUGUCAGAUUAUCACCGGGUACGUUAGAAGAUAUCAAAAAGGAUUGGCUGCAAGGCAAAGAUUAGAGUGAAAAAGAGGAAGGAUGGCAAAUUUAUGAUAGAAAUGGUUCGACUCAACCACAAUCACAAGAUGCUGGAAAGCCCCGGGAUGCUUUUGCACAUGCGAUUGCACAAAAAAGAUGAUCCUUUGAUAGACCUGUUAGUGAAAGACAUGCAACUGGACAACCACACACAUGCUCAGAUGAUGUCGACGCUGUCGCGCAUGUCCGGUGGUCUGUAGUACAUGGGACAUACUAGCCGCGCCUGGGUAAACAAGAAACAGAAGUUUGCCAGAGAAGAGUCCGAAGAUGAUGUCAAGAAACUUCUGGAUUUCUUCGAGAAAAUGCAAAAGAUAAACCCAGAGUUCUUCUAUGAUUAUGACGUUGAUGCAGAUAACCGUGUAAGAAACAUCUUUUGGGUGAACGCAAGUUGCAAAGCAUCGUAUGAAGAUUUUGGACACCGCGUUACAUUUGACACGACGUAUAAAACUAACAAAUUCCACAUGCCGCUAGGAGUCUUCGUGGGAGUGAACCAUCAUCUACAGAGCACCAUAUUUGUUGUUGCCCUCGUGCAAGAUGAAACAAUACCAUCAUUCAAGUGGGUUUUCGAAACCUUUCUGAGGUGUAUGAACAACAAGCCGCCAAUCUGCAUGCUCACAGACCAGUGUUCUUUGAUGAAGGCAGCAUUAAAAACUAUCCUCCCACAUACUCUGCAUAAGCUGUGUCGGUGGCAUAUCAUGAAGAAGUACAAAGACCACCUCGCCUUGCUGUAUAAGGCGCACGAGAAACUCAAGGAUGAACUCAAUGCGGUGCUGAACCACCCACUAAUGCCGUCAGAAUUUGAACAAGCAUGGAAGAACCUCAUUCAGAGAUACAACUUGCAGGACGACGAAGUGAUGAAUUCGCUGUGGGAUGACAGGCACAAGUGGAUCUCGGCUUACUACAAGGAAAUUGUUUGUGCUCGGAUGACUUCCACACAGAGAAGCGAGAGCAUGAACCGCGUACUGAAGAUUUUUUUUUCCAAGGAGAAGCAUGAUCUCCAUCUAUUUGCUCAGCAGGUAGAUAAGUGCAUUCAGACCAGGAAGGCCAUCGAGCACGCAGAGACAGUAGCAAAUGAGGUAAACAAAAUGUGA